GUAGGGAAUAUUGCACAAUGGAGGAAACUCUGAUGCAGCGACGCCGCGUGAGUGAUGAAGGCCUUCGGGUCGUAAAGCUCUGUCGCAGGGGAAUAACACAAUGAAGUUACCCUGUAAGAAAGGAUCGGCUAACUUCGUGCCAGCAGCCGCGGUAAGACGAGGGAUCCUAGCGUUGUUCGGAAUCAUUGGGCGUAAAGCGGAUGUAGGUGGCUAUGUAAGUCAGAUGUGAAAGCCUGGGGCUCAACCCCAGAAGUGCAUUUGAUACUGCGUAGCUUGAGUGUCGGAGAGGUUACUAGAAUUGUUGGUGUAGUGGUGAAAUACGUAGAUAUCAACAGGAAUACCGGAGGCGAAGGCGGGUAACUGGCCGAACACUGACACUGAGAUCCGAAAGCGUGGGGAUCAAACAGGAUUAGAUACCCGUGUAGUCC
rnacentral:rRNA from 1 species